rnacentral:rRNA from 1 species
GACGUAGGGCGCGAGCGUUGUCCGGAUUUAUUGGGCGUAAAGAGCUCGUAGGCGGCUUGUCGCGUCGAAUGUGAAAUCUCAGGGCUCAACUCUGACAUUGCAUUCGAUACGGGCAGGCUAGAGUUCGGUAGGGGAGACUGGAAUUCCUGGUGUAGCGGUGGAAUGCGCAGAUAUCAGGAGGAACACCGGUGGCGAAGGCGGGUCUCUGGGCCGAUACUGACGCUGAGGAGCGAAAGCGUGGGGAGCGAACAGG